rnacentral:rRNA from 1 species
UGAGGAAUAUUGCACAAUGGGCGCAAGCCUGAUGCAGCGACGCCGUGUGUGGGAUGAAGGGGCUACGCCUCGUAAACCACUGUAGCCCGGGACGAAAAACGCCUUAGAGGCGUUAGACGGUACCGGGAAAGUAAGGGUCGGCUAACUACGUGCAAGUAGCCGCGGUAAUACGUAGGACCCAAGCGUUGUCCGGAUUUAAUGGGUGUAAAGGGUGCGCAGGCGGAUGGGUAAGUCAGGGGUGAAAGUCUGCAGCUUAACUGUAGAAUUGCCUUUGAUACUGCUCAUCUUGAGUGUGGGAGAGGUUGAUGGAAUUCCAGGUGUAGCAGUGAAAUGCGUAGAUAUCUGGAAGAACACCAGUGGCGAAGGCGGUCAACUUGCCCAUAACUGACGCUCAUGCACGAAAGCGUGUGGAGCAAACA